rnacentral:rRNA from 1 species
AGAGUUUGAUCAUGGCUCAGAACGAACGCUGGCGGCAGGCCUAACACAUGCAAGUCGAACGCUCCGCAAGGAGAGUGGCAGACGGGUGAGUAACGCGUGGGAAUUUCCCCCAAGGUUCGGAAUAACUGAGGGAAACUUCAGCUAAUACCGAAUGGUACCGAGAGGUUAAAGAUUUAUCGCCUUGGGAUGAGCCCGCGUUGGAUUAGCUAGUUGGUGAGGUAACGGCUCACCAAGGCUUUGAUCCAUAGCUGGUCUGAGAGGACGACCAGCCACACUGGGACUGAGACACGGCCCAGACUCCUACGGGAGGCAGCAGUGGGGAAUCUUGGACAAUGGGCGCAAGCCUGAUCCAGCCAUGCCGCGUGGGCGAUGAAGGUCUUCGGAUUGUAAAGCCCUUUUGGCGGGGACGAUAAUGACGGUACCCGCAGAAUAGU